CUUCAACAUUUCAGUUUGUUGCAAAGUCAACAUUUUUAAUUUUUGUUAAAAAUGUAUUAUGUUGAGAUUUCUUUAAAUCUGUUAUUUAAAUUUUAAUUCAUAAACCAAAAAUAAAUUUCUAGAUUUUCAGUUUUGUUUAACAGUGAUGGCAACAUUGAUAUUUUUAAAGAAUAAAAUAAAUAAUCAAAAUAAGUAAAAAAACAAAAUAAAAACGUAUAAACUUAUAUUUAAUAUUUUAUUUUUCAUUCUUAAACUAUUAUUAAAUUUAUAAUUUUAUUUCAUUUUUUCCCCUUUAUUUUUCUCUUUCUUUAUGAUGGCUGUGUAAAGCACUUGGACUCACCAGUGAGCAUGAAAUGUGCUGUAUAAAUAACUUGCCUUCAUCACACUGGGCUGGAUAAUUGUUCCUGUGGAAACCCUGCAGAAGCUCACAGUCCUGUGGAGAGGAUCUUACUGAAUACUGAAGAUACAUCUGAAUAUCAUCUGUGUGCAGUGUCAUCUGACAGAUGAUGCAGAUCAAUAAAGUACCGUGUACCUGUCUGUCUGUAUCUGAGUUACCCAGAGGACAACAUGUCAGCCUGUCUGUCUGUGAACUAACGUACGUGUGUGUGUGUGUGUGUGUGUGUGUGUGUGUGUGUGUGUGUGUGUGUGUGUGUUCAGGGAUGAGGGAACUGUGUCCUCCUCAGCUGAAUCUGAAGCGUCUGUAUGGAGAGACGCUGGAGUCUGAGCCCGUCAUACUGAUCAUCUCUGCCGGCGCGGAUCUAUCUCAGGAGCUCCGGGAACUCGCCAGUCAGAUCGUGGUGCGAGAAAUCUUCCAUGAGGUGGUGAUGGCUGUCCUUGAAGAACCUGCACCUGGUCACAGCGUGGCUCCCCCUGCUGGAGAAGGAGCUCAACAGUAUGAAACCCAAAGCCAGCUUCAGAUUCUGGUUGACUGCUGAGGUUCAUGUGAAGUUCACUCCUGUACUGCUCCAGUCCAGCCUGAAGGUCACCUAUGAGGUCAGUGUGUGUCAAAUAUAAUGUAUUCUCUUUUUAAUGAACCAAUUUUGAUUUUUACAUUUUUAAUCUACUGUAUGCUGUUUUGGGUUUAUGCAUCAACAAAACUUGAAACAUUAUUUUUAGCAUGCUUCUUAUUCAAUAAUGAUGUUUAUUAAUAAAAUGAUUAUUUAAAAAUCA
ensembl:lncRNA